rnacentral:rRNA from 1 species
GACGAACGCUGGCGGCGUGCUUAACACAUGCAAGUCGAACGGAAAGGCCCUGCUCUUGUGGGGUGCUCGAGUGGCGAACGGGUGAGUAACACGUGAGUAACCUGCCCUUGACUUUGGGAUAACUUCAGGAAACUGGGGCUAAUACCGGAUAGGAGCUCCUGCUGCAUGGUGGGGGUUGGAAAGUUUCGGCGGUUGGGGAUGGACUCGCGGCUUAUCAGCUUGUUGGUGGGGUAGUGGCUUACCAAGGCUUUGACGGGUAGCCGGCCUGAGAGGGUGACCGGCCACAUUGGGACUGAGAUACGGCCCAGACUCCUACGGGAGGCAGCAGUGGGGAAUAUUGCACAAUGGGCGGAAGCCUGAUGCAGCAACGCCGCGUGCGGGAUAACGGCCUUCGGGUUGUAAACCGCUUUCGCCUGUGACGAAGCGUGAGUGACGGUAAUGGGUAAAGAAGCACCGGCUAACUACGUG